UAAAGAAUUUCGGUUAUCGAUGGGGAUGCGUUCCAUUAGUUAGUUGGCGGGGUAACGGCCCACCAAGACGACGAUGGAUAGGGGUUCUGAGAGGAAGGUCCCCCACAUUGGAACUGAGACACGGUCCAAACUCCUACGGGAGGCAGCAGUGAGGAAUAUUGGUCAAUGGACGAGAGUCUGAACCAGCCAAGUAGCGUGAAGGAUGACUGCCCUAUGGGUUGUAAACUUCUUUUAUAUGGGAAUAAAACAGGGUAUGCAUACCCUCUUGUAUGUACCAUAUGAAUAAGGAUCGGCUAACUCCGUGCCAGCAGCCGCGGUAAUACGGAGGAUCCGAGCGUUAUCCGGAUUUAUUGGGUUUAAAGGGGGCGUAGGUGGAUUGUUAAGUCAGUUGUGAAAGUUUGCGGCUCAACCGUAAAAUUGCAGUUGAAACUGGCAGUCUUGAGUACAGUAGAGGUGGGCGGAAUUCGUGGUGUAGCGGUGAAAUGCUUAGAUAUCACGAAGAACUCCGAUUGCGAAGGCAGCUCACUGGACUGCAACUGACACUGAUGCUCGAAAGUGUGGGUAUCAAACAGGAUUAGAUACCCUGGUAGUCCACACAGU
rnacentral:rRNA from 1 species